GCCACUAUAGCUCAGAUGGUAGAGCUACACAUUGCUGGUGUGUGGGUCGCGGGUCCAAUUCCUGCUAGCGGCACCA
rnacentral:tRNA from 1 species